rnacentral:rRNA from 1 species
GAAUCCCACAGGCCGUAAACCCAAGGUUUCCAGGGGAAGGUUCGUCCGCCCUGGGUUAGUCGGGACCUAAGCUGAGGCCGAAAGGCGUAGGUGAUGGACAACAGGUUGAUAUUCCUGUACUACCGAUAACCGUUUGAGAGAAGGGAUGACACAGUAGGAUAAGCUAAGCACACUGUUGGUUAUGUGUGCCCAAGCAUUGAGGCAGUCAAAGUAGGCAAAUCCGCUUUGAUAAUGCUGGGAUGUGAUGGGGAGCGAAAUUUAGUAGCGAAGUAGCUGAUUUCACACUGUCAAGAAAAGUCUCUAUCGAGGUUAAAGGUACCCGUACCGCAAACCGACACAGGUGGGUGAGGAGAGUAUCCUAAGGCCAGCGAGAGAACUGUUGUUAAGGAACUCGGCAAAAUGACCCCGUAACUUAGGGAUAAGGGGUGCCACCAUCAGGUGGCCGCAGAGAAUAGGCCCAAGCGACUGUUUACCAAAAACAUAGGUUUCUGCUAAGUCGCAAGACGAUGUAUAGGAGCUGACGCCUGCCCGGUGCUGGAAGGUUAAGGGGAUCUGUUAGAGCAAUCGAAGCAGUGAACUUAAGCCCCAGUAAACGGCGGCCGUAACUAUAACGGUCCUAAGGUAGCGAAAUUCCUUGUCGGGUAAGUUCCGACCCGCACGAAAGGCGUAACGAUUUGGGCACUGUCUCAACAACAGACUCGGUGAAAUUGUAAUUCCGGUGAAGAUGCCGGAUACCUGCGACAGGACGGAAAGACCCCAUGGAGCUUUACUGUAGCUUGACAUUGGGUCUUGGUACUACAUGUACAGGAUAGGUGGGAGGCUUUGAAACCAGGACGCCAGUUUUGGCGGAGCCAUCCUUGGGAUACCACCCUUGUAGUACUGGGACUCUAACCAUAGGCCAUGAAUCUGGUCUUGGGACACUGUCAGGUGGGCAGUUUGACUGGGGCGGUCGCCUCCCAAAAGGUAACGGAGGCGCUCAAAGGUUCUCUCAGUACGGUCGGAAAUCGUACGUAGAGUGUAAAGGCAAAAGAGAGCUUGAUUGCAAGACAUACAGGUCGAGCAAGGAUGAAAAUCGGACUUAGUGAUCCGGUGGUUCUGCGUGGAAGGGCCAUCGCUCAACGGAUAAAAGCUACCCUGGGGAUAACAGGCUUAUCUCCCCCAAGAGUCCACAUCGACGGGGAGGUUUGGCACCUCGAUGUCGGCUCAUCACAUCCUGGGGCUGUAGUAGGUCCCAAGGGUUGGGCUGUUCGCCCAUUAAAGUGGUACGCGAGCUGGGUUCAGAACGUCGUG